UACAGAGGUCCCAAGCGUUGUUCGGAUUUACUGGGCGUAAAGGGUGCGUAGGUGGUUGGGUAAGUCUGAUGUGAAAUCUCCGGGCUCAACCCGGAAAUGGCAUUGGAUACUAUUUGACUAGAGGGUUGGAGGGGGGACUGGAAUACUUGGUGUAGCAGUGAAAUGCGUAGAUAUCAAGUGGAACACCAGUGGCGAAGGCGAGUCCCUGGACAACUCCUGACACUGAGGCACGAAAGCUAGGGGAGCAAACGGG
rnacentral:rRNA from 1 species